rfam:Ovis aries breed Texel chromosome 2, whole genome shotgun sequence.
UCCUUUGUGGCUCAGCUGGUAAAGCAUCUGCCUGCAAUGCAGAAGACCUGGCUUCAACCCCUGGGUUGGGAA